AGACCGGGUAAUGGGAGUCAGCGGGUAAUGGUGGUCACCCACACAUCUCCAAAACUACAAACACUAGAAAUACGUUUACGGGCGUUCCCGCCCCCCUCUGGCCCCGCGCUAGCGCUGCGACAGCGCCGCGCCAGUAUGGCGACGGCAUCGGGAUUAAGAGGUGUGUUUUGUUUUUGCGGCUCGCCGAUGUAAAUUUUUACGUACGCAAAAUAGACGAUGCCGAAAGUACGAGUCAGAACUACCACAAAAGCUUCCUGGUCUUCUGACACAUUGGAAAAAGCAGUGAAACUUAUAGAAGAAGAUGGAUUUUUGUAUGAUCCUCAUUACCCGCAAGGUGACCACAAUAGCCCAUACCUCUGUGCAAUGGGAGUCAAAACAGUUAAUUUUUGUAACUUUCAUAUUUGACGACCGGUCUGGCCUAGUGGGUAGUGACCCUGCCUGCUAAGCCGAUGGUCCUGGGUUCGAAUCCCAGUAAGGGCAUUUAUUUGUGUGAUGAACACUAAUAUUUGUUCCUGAGUCAUGGGUGUUUUCUAUGUAUAUAAGUAUGUAUUUAUCUAUAUAAGUAUAUAUAUCGUCGCCUAGCACCCAUAGUACAAGCUUUGCUUAGUUUGGGGCUAGGUUGAUCUGUGUAAGAUGUCCCCAAUAUUUAUUUAUUUAUUUAUUAUUUAUAUUUGCCAAAGAUGAUUAGUAAUGUGACGAUUAUUGAUCUCAAAUAAUAGUCAAUUAAGUAGAUUUUGUUAUGAGGCGGUUGCAAUAAAGAUUUCGUUUCAUUUUA